CCUACGGGAGGCAGCAGUGGGGAAUAUUGGACAAUGGGGGGAACCCUGAUCCAGCGACGCCGCGUGAGUGAAGAAGUAUUUCGGUAUGUAAAGCCCUAUCAGCAGGGAAGAAAAUGACGGUACCUGACUCAGAAGCCACGGCUAACUACGUGACAGCAGCCGCGGUAAGACGGAGGGGGCAAGCGUUCUCCGGAUUUACUGGGUGUAAAGGGCGCGUAGACGGUGCAGCAAGUCCGAUGUGAAAGGUCGGGGCCCAACCCCGGGACUGCAUUGGAAACUGGUGAACUGGAGUACAGGAGAGGUAAGCGGAAUUCCUAGUGUAGCGGUGAAAUGCGUAGAUAUUAGGAGGAACACCAGUGGCGAAGGCGGCUUACUGGACUGUAACUGACGGUGAGGCUCGAAAGCGUGGGGAGCAAACAGGAUUAGAUACCCCAGUAGUC
rnacentral:rRNA from 1 species